AACGCUGGCGGCGCGCUUAACACAUGCAAGUCGAGCGAGAACCAGGACUUCGGUCUUGGAGACAGCGGCGAACGGGUGAGUAACACGUGGGUAAUCUGCCCUCGGUUCUGGGAUAGCCCGGGGAAACUCGGAUUAAUACCGGAUAGCCUCUCUGGCCCUCGGGCCGGUGAGAAAAGGUAGCUUCGGCCUCCGACUGAGGAUGAGCCCGCGGCGGAUUAGCUUGUUGGCGGGGCAACGGCCCACCAAGGCGACGAUCCGUAGCUGGUCUGAGAGGACGAUCAGCCACACUGGGACUGAGACACGGCCCAGACUUCUACGGGAGGCAGCAGUGGGGAAUCUUGCGCAAUGGGCGAAAGCCUGACGCAGCGACGCCGCGUGAGGGAAGAAGGCCUUCGGGUUGUAAACCUCUUUCAGGUGGGACGAAGCCACUCGGGUGAAUAGCCCAGAGGGUGACGGUACCUCCAGAAGAAGCCCCGGCUAACUACGUGCCAGCCGCCGCAGUAAAAC
rnacentral:rRNA from 1 species